UGUGUAAAAUCGGAAAGCAUUUUUGCUGUUGUAUUUGUCAAACAACUCGCAAAAUUUUGUUAAUUUUGUAUUCUUUUAUUUAAGCGUCAUCUUUCUUCAAGAGUUUCAAUGGAAAGUAAAUUGUUUUUUACUCAAGAGCAGUUGAAAAACUCUCCGAGCAGAAAAGUUGGAAUUGACGAAAAGACGGAGCUUAGUUACAGACAGCAAGCUGCAAAUUUCAUUCAAGAUGUUGGACAGAAACUUAAAGUAUCUCAAUUAUGUAUCAAUGAUGCCGUUGUCUACAUGCACAGAUUUUUUGCAUUCCACUCCUUCUCAGAAGUCCAGAAAUACUCAUUGUGUACUGCUGCUCUUUUCUUGGCAAUAAAAGUUGAAGAACAAGCUAGGAGACAGGAACAUAUCAUCAAAGCCUCUCA